CACCGAGCUGCACCUGCUUUCAAUCAGCUUUUUGGUGUAUUUAAGUGUGGUUCAUUUUGAAGGAAGAUGAUGCAGUAUUUCCAACCAUAUUGCUUUUUUUUUUUUUGUCAUACUCUAGUUCCCUGGCUUUGUUCCUGUCGCAUCCAAUCUCAUUGGUUCCAUUGGGACUUGAGGCACAGUGGUUGACUGGUUAGCAUGUCUGCCUCGCAGUUCUGACUACCUGGGUUCAAAUCCAGCCUUGCCUGUGUGGAGUUGGCAUGUUCUCCCUGUGCCUGCGUGGGUUUUCUCCAGGUACUCCGGUUUCCUCCCACAUCCCCAAAACAUACAUGGUUGUACACCGUCUCUCGCCCAGAGUCAGCUGGGAUAGGCUCCAGCACCGCUGUGACCCUAGUGAGGAUAAGCGGACAUUUACAGCACCUGCCUCACUCGAAAAGCCCUCCGCAUAGCGGGGGAUGCCACCCAUCCAUCACACAGCCUCUUUAGUCUGCUGCCAUCUGGGAGGAGACUGUGGAGUCUGUGGACCAGGACUAGCCGACUCAGACAGUUUUAUUUAUCAGGAAUCUGAACUCUCUGCCCCCUCUACCUCUUCUGUCCUCCGCUCACCUAAACUGUGAACUCUGAUGCACUACAUACAUGCGCACACACACACACACACACACCAGUCUCAGGGUCACACCAGCCACUUUAGCAGCAUUGGGGUCUUGUCUUCCUAUUUUCCUUGAUUCUCUGACCUUGACUAUGUUGCACAUGUCACCUUAUCUUUGAUAUUGCACAUUCAGUUAAUACUUUUUAUACUAUAUAUUUUAUACUAUAUAUUUAGCGUUUUAUAUUGAUAUUUGUACUGCCUUUGUAGCACUGCGGGCCCUUGAGUACUGUAAUUUAAAUCCUCUGUAUGUUACGCAUAUUGAAGAAUUUACAAUAAAAGCACC